rnacentral:rRNA from 1 species
UAGGGAAUAUUGGGCAAUGGAGGCAACUCUGACCCAGCCACGCCGCGUGCAGGAGGAAGGCGCUCUGCGUUGUAAACUGCUUUAGCAGGGGAAGAAAAAGGCCAUGCGUGGCAAAUUGACGGUACCCUGAGAAUAAGCACCGGCUAACUACGUGCCAGCAGCCGCGGUAAUACGUAGGGUGCAAGCGUUGUCCGGAUUUAUUGGGUUUAAAGGGUGCGUAGGCGGUCUAUUAAGUCAGUGUUUAAAUUUUGCAGCUUAACUGUAGGUAUGGCAUUGAUACUGAUGGACUUGAAUAUUAGAGAGGUAGCUGGAAUUUAUGGUGUAGCGGUGAAAUGCAUAGAUACCAUAAGGAACACCGAUAGCGGAGGCAUGUUACCAUCUGGUUAUUGACGCUGAGGCACGAAAGUGUGGGGAUCAAACA